rnacentral:rRNA from 1 species
ACGGGUGAGUAACACGUAUCCAACCUGCCGUCUACUCUUGACAGCCUUCUGAAAAGGAAAGAUUAAUACAAGAUGGCAUCAUGAGUCCGCAUGUUCACAUGAUUAAAGGUAUUUCCGGUAGACGAUGGGGAUGCGUUCCAUUAGAUAGUAGGCGGGGUAACGGCCCACCUAGUCUACGAUGGAUAGGGGUUCUGAGAGGAAGGUCCCCCACAUUGGAACUGAGACACGGUCCAA